rnacentral:rRNA from 1 species
ACGGGAGGCAGCAGUGGGGAAUAUUGCACAAUGGGGGAAACCCUGAUGCAGCAACGCCGCGUGAGUGAUGAAGUAUUUCGGUAUGUAAAGCUCUAUCAGCAGGGAAGAUAAUGACGGUACCUGACUAAGAAGCUCCGGCUAAAUACGUGCCAGCAGCCGCGGUAAUACGUAUAGAGCAAGCGUUAUCCGGAUUUACUGGGUGUAAAGGGUGCGUAGGCGGUAUGGCAAGUCAGAUGUGAAAGACCGGGGCUCAACUCCGGGGCUGCAUUUGAAACUGCCAGACUGGAGUGCAGGAGAGGCAGGCGGAAUUCCUAGUGUAGCGGUGAAAUGCGUAGAUAUUAGGAGGAACACCAGUGGCGAAGGCGGCCUGCUGGACUGUUACUGACGCUGAGGCACGAAAGCGUGGGGAGCAAACAGGAUUAGAUACCCUGGUA